ACUUAUUCUCAGGGCGGGGUGGAAUUCCCCACCGGCGGUGAUUCGGCUUUGCCGAAAAGUCCGCGAGCGCUCUUGGUUGUUCAAGAGGUCAGCAGAUCCGGUGUGAUUCCGGAACCGACGGUAACAGUCCGGAUGGAAGAGGAUAAGG
rnacentral:ncRNA from 2 species